CCUACGGGUGGCAGCAGUGAGGAAUAUUGGUCAAUGGGCGGAAGCCUGAACCAGCCAAGUCGCGUGCAGGAUGACGGCCCUACGGGUUGUAAACUGCUUUUAUCCGGGAAUAACGCGCCUUUCGUGUAGGGCAUUGCAUGUACCGUAUGAAUAAGGACCGGCUAAUUCCGUGCCAGCAGCCGCGGUAAUACGGAAGGUCCGGGCGUUAUCCGGAUUUAUUGGGUUUAAAGGGUGCGUAGGCCGGAUGUCAAGCGUGCUGUGAAAUGUCCGGGCUCAACCCGGGCCUUGCCGUGCAAACUGGCGUGCUUGAGUCCGCGAGAGGCAGGCGGAAUGCGGCGUGUAGCGGUGAAAUGCUUAGAUAUGACGAAGAACCCCGAUUGCGAAGGCAGCUUGCUGGAGCGGAACUGACGCUGAGGCACGAAAGCGCGGGUAUCGAACAGGAUUAGAUACCCCUGUAGUC
rnacentral:rRNA from 1 species